CCAAAGACGGUAACAGCCCGGUAGUUGAAAUGGCUUUCCCUCCAGAGUGGAUCCUGAGUACGGCGGAACACGUGAAAUUCCGUCGGAAUCCGGGAGGACCAUCUCCCAAGGCUAAAUACUCCCUAGUGACCGAUAGUGAACCAGUACCGUGAGGGAAAGGUGAAAAGCACCCCGGAAGGGGAGUGAAACAGUUCCUGAAACCGUGUGCCUACAAGUAGUUAGAGCCCGUUAAUGGGUGAUAGCGUGCCUUUUGUAGAAUGAACCGGCGAGUUACGAUUUGUUGCAAGGUUAAGCGGAAAAAGCGGAGCCGUAGCGAAAGCGAGUCUGAAUAGGGCGCAUAAGUAACAGGUCGUAGACCCGAAACCAGGUGAUCUACCCAUGUCCAGGAUGAAGGUAAGGUAAUACUUACUGGAGGUCCGAACCCACGCACGUUGAAAAGUGCGGGGAUGAGGUGUGGGUAGCGGAGAAAUUCCAAUCGAACUUGGAGAUAGCUGGUUCUCUCCGAAAUAGCUUUAGGGCUAGCCUCGAGGUAAAGAGUCAUGGAGGUAGAGCACUGUUUGGACUAGGGGCCCUUCUCGGGUUACCGAAUUCAGAUAAACUCCGAAUGCCAUGUACUUAUACUCGGGAGUCAGACUGCGAGUGAUAAGAUCCGUAGUCGAAAGGGAAACAGCCCAGACCACCAGUUAAGGUCCCCAAAUAUAUGUUAAGUGGAAAAGGAUGUGGGGUUGCUUAGACAACCAGGAUGUUGGCUUAGAAGCAGCCACCAUUGAAAGAGUGCGUAAUAGCUCACUGGUCGAGUGACCCCGCGCCGAAAAUGUACCGGGGCUAAACAUAUUACCGAAACUGUGGAUGAACCUCUUUAGAGGUUCGUGGUAGGAGAGCGUUCUAAGGGCGGUGAAGUCAGACCGGAAGGACUGGUGGAGCGCUUAGAAGUGAGAAUGCCGGUAUGAGUAGCGAAAGAAGGGUGAGAAUCCCUUCCACCGAAUAUCUAAGGUUUCCUGAGGAAGGCUCGUCCGCUCAGGGUUAGUCGGGACCUAAGCCGAGGCCGAUAGGCGUAGGCGAUGGACAACAGGUAGAGAUUCCUGUACCAGUGCUAAUUGUUUAACCGAUGGGGUGACACAGAAGGAUAGGGAAUCGCACGAAUGGAAAUGUGCGUCCAAGCAGUGAGUGUGAGAAGUAGGCAAAUCCGCUUCUCGCGAAGCAUGAGCUGUGAUGGGGAAGGAAAUUAAGUACGGAAGUUCCUGAUUUCACGCUGUCAAGAAAAGCCUCUAGGAAGAGUAGUACUGCCCGUACCGCAAACCGACACAGGUAGAUGAGGAGAGAAUCCUAAGGUGAGCGAGAGAACUCUCGUUAAGGAACUCGGCAAAAUGACCCCGUAACUUCGGGAGAAGGGGUGCUCUAUUAGGGUGCAAGCCCGAGAGAGCCGCAGUGAAUAGGCCCAGGCGACUGUUUAGCAAAAACACAGGUCUCUGCAAAACCGUAAGGUGACGUAUAGGGGCUGACGCCUGCCCGGUGCUGGAAGGUUAAGAGGAGUGCUUAGCUUCGGCGAAGGUACGAAUUGAAGCCCCAGUAAACGGCGGCCGUAACUAUAACGGUCCUAAGGUAGCGAAAUUCCUUGUCGGGUAAGUUCCGACCCGCACGAAAGGCGCAACGAUCUGGGCACUGUCUCAACGAGAGACUCGGUGAAAUUAUAGUACCUGUGAAGAUGCAGGUUACCCGCGACAGGACGGAAAGACCCCGUGGAGCUUUACUGCAACCUGAUAUGGAAUGUUUGUACCGCUUGUACAGGAUAGGUAGGAGCCGAAGAGACGUGUGCGCUAGCAUACGAGGAGGCAAUGGUGGGAUACUACCCUGGCUGUAUGACCAUUCUAACCCGCCACGCUUAGCGCGUGGGGAGACAGUGUCAGGUGGGCAGUUUGACUGGGGCGGUCGCCUCCUAAAGAGUAACGGAGGCGCCCAAAGGUUCCCUCAGAAUGGAUGGAAAUCAUUCGCAGAGUGUAAAGGCACAAGGGAGCUUGACUGCGAGACUGACAAGUCGAGCAGGGACGAAAGUCGGGCUUAGUGAUCCGGUGGUUCCGCAUGGAAGGGCCAUCGCUCAACGGAUAAAAGCUACCCCGGGGAUAACAGGCUUAUCUCCCCCAAGAGUCCACAUCGACGGGGAGGUUUGGCACCUCGAUGUCGGCUCGUCGCAUCCUGGGGCUGUAGUCGGUCCCAAGGGUUGGGCUGUUCGCCCAUUAAAGCGGCACGCGAGCUGGGUUCAGAACGUCGUGAGACAGUUCGGUCCCUAUCCGUCGCGGGCGCAGGAAAUUUGAGAGGAGCUGUCCUUAGUACGAGAGGACCGGGAUGGACACACCGCUGGUGUACCAGUUGUUCCGCCAGGAGCAUCGCUGGGUAGCUAUGUGUGGCAGGGAUAAACGCUGAAAGCAUCUAAGCGUGAAGCCCCCCUCAAGAUGAGAUUUCCCAUUUCUUCGGAAAGUAAGAUCCCUGAAAGAUGAUCAGGUAGAUAGGU
rnacentral:rRNA from 1 species